rnacentral:tRNA from 1 species
GCGCCUGUAGCUCAAUGGAUAGAGCAGCGGUCUUCGGAACCGCUGAUGUGGGUUCGAUUCCUACCAGGCGCA